rnacentral:rRNA from 1 species
CACGGGGGUUGGAGGGCAAGUCUGGUGCCAGCAGCCGCGGUAAUUCCAGCUCCAAUAGCGUAUAUUAAAGUUGUUGCAGUUAAAAAGCUCGUAGUUGAAUUUCGGGAUCAAAUUGUUGGUCGUGCUUCGGCACGCACUGGCAUUAUUGGUUCCUACCUUCUGAAGAACCGCGAUGUCAUUAAUUUGGUGUCGUGGGGAAUCAGGACUGUUACUUUGAAAAAAUUAGAGUGUUUAAAGCAGGCGUACGCUUGAAUACAUUAGCAUGGAAUAAUGAAAUAGGACGUUUGAUUCUAUUUUGUUGGUUUCUAGGAUCGACGUAAUGAUUAAUAGGGAUAGUUGGGGGCAUUAGUAUUCAAUUGUCAGAGGUGAAAUUCUUGGAUUUAUUGAAGACUAACUACUGCGAAAGCAUUUGCCAAGGAUGUUUUCAUUAAUCAAGAACGAAAGUUAGGGGAUCGAAGACGAUCAGAUACCGUCGUAGU